UAAAUUGGCAACAUUUUUAAUUUUUCUUCCUGGACAUCUGUUCUGUUUGAGUAGAGCUAGAAUUAAGCCAACAUGCUGCCACAUGCAAAUUGUUUUGUUUUGGGAAUUCUUGUGUUUUAUGCUUUGCAUUUGCCAUAAAUUAGCCUCCUUUUCCCUUUAUGUAUUUCAGGUUGUUGUGUUCUUGAAGUCAUUCUUUGGUUUAUUUGGCAUAAUGAAAUCUAUAACGUCUUGUCUUUAAAUAACUAACUUCACUGAAACCCUUGUCAGCUUUAAUAGGAUUCAGGUCAGAAGAUUUUGAGCAAAAACAGUGCAAGCUACAGACAUGUGUGCAUUUUGCUAAAAGGACAGCCUCCUCUAUUUUGGAAGAUUUUUCUGUCUGAUGGAGUUGUCUGCUCAUAAGGAUCCUUGAGGAGAGAAUGUCGGAGAAAAGGAGGAUUGUUCAGCCUGGAGUUUCCAUCAUAUGGACGUGCGUAUUGAAGCCAUGUGUCCCGUCUUACUGUCUGAACAUCCCAACAAAGCUAAGAGCAGCCACUUCACCAUUAAUCAGCAAUCAGAUGAAGAGCUGACUUCGGAAGAGAACUUCUCUUGCUACUGUGGCCUGCCCCACACUCUGGCACACUGAAGGACAGGUGGGCAGGAAUCGGUUGGCCUGUUCAAAACAGCAAAUGAUGCAAGUGGCAGGACACGUCUUGCUUUGCCUUUGACUUGCAUCACGGUGUCUCUUUUCUCCACUGUGGUUUUUUGUUUUUCCUGUGUGGAUCAAAGUCUCAGGAGUAAUUACCCCUCAGUAAGCUCAGUAGUGCCCUUUGUACAGGUGGGGUCCUCGUCAUUUGAGCCAGAGGAUGGUUAACGUGUACAUAUAACAUUACACAGAGUCCAAUACUUUUCUGAUAACUCCUAUAAAUUGUCUUUAAAAUUUUUUUAAUGUUUAUUUUUUUUUUUAAUUUUUUUUUUAACGUUUAUUUAUUUUUGAGACAGAGAGAGACACAGCAUGAACGGGGGAGGGGCAGAGAGAGAGGGAGACACAGAAUCGGAAACAGGCUCCAGGCUCUGAGCCAUCAGCCCAGAGCCUGACACGGGGCUCGAACUCACGGACCGCGAGAUCAUGACCUUAGCUGAAGUCAGACGCUUAACCGACUGAGCCACCCAGGCGCCCCUAAUGUUUAUUUAUUUUUGAGAGAGAGAGGGACAGAGUGCGGGCAGGGGAGGGGCAGAGAGAGAGAGAGGGAGACACAGAAUCUGAGAUGUCAGCACAGAGUCUGAGGUGGGGCUCAAACUCACAAACUGCAAAAUGAUGACGUGAGCCGAAGUUGGAUGCUUAACUGACUGAGCCACCCAGGCGCCCCUCCUAGUCAAUUGUCUUGUAGGUCAGCAAAGCCAAGGAUGAGGUUAAAUGGGAAGGGUUGGUUUGGGGCUUUUUGGCCUGUUCAAUUGCACGGAUGCCCCCAUAGGUCACCUCUCUAGCCUGUGGAGCAGUGACAGUGCAACGUGUUGCACACCUUGGAGUUGCCUUCAUUCUUUCCACCAGGACUUGGCCAAAACACUCAGGCACUAGAGCAUCUGGGAACGGCCUUCUCUGUCCUGGUCAUCUAUGUAGAAAGCUAAGGCAGAUACUGGAAACGGUCUAUUUUCUCUCCAUUUCUGACACCCCUCUUGCUUCUGUAAGUAUUGCUUCGCAAUUGUCCUCACUGCCUUGCAAAUCACUCAGAGCCUGCCGGCAGAUCUGAGAUAAUAUCUCUAAUUGAAAGUGAGAGGUUGUCUGAUUUGCCUAGUUUAGGAUGAGUCACUUGUAUGUUUGAGAAGUGAAGUCCCAGAUUCUGUUAUUGAUACUGGAAACUGUACAGAAGGAAUGAGUCUGGAGUUCAGAACACACAUCAUGAAUCUCACACCAGUGAUGCUCUGGCUGUUCAGAGGGAUGGAACAAGAAACAAAUCUCUAAGGUGGAGGUUUUUGUGAAAAAUCUCAGAUUUUAUUAGAGAGGUCUUUUGAGUACAUAACAUAUUGAACUUUAAUAUUAUGGACUUGAAAGAAAAUAUUUCCUUUGGAGUAGGAAGCCUCUGUUAUGUUUUGGAAGAAUUUUCCAGUAAAUCAUCUAACACCUGCUUUACUGUACAGGCCUUGAAAUUUUAUCCUUUCAUUGGUUACAUACGCUUUUGCCUUUGGAAACUUCACAUGCUUCUCUUUACCAGUAAUAUUUUGUUCCCAAAAUAUCAGCUCCCAGGGAGGAUUUCAUAAAGGCUGACCCAACAAGAAAUGUUUUUGAGCAAACCUUCUGGAUAUCUUUGGCUAGGUACCAUGCUCUGUGUAAGUACACUCUGUGUAAGAUUAUUACUUGAAAUCCAAAAAGCCAGCCUACAGAGAUAAUGGGUUUGUGGCAAAAGAACAUUCUGACCAUCUCUUAACAUAAAGGCAUCUUGUAUCUGUGAGUGUGGCAACAGUGACUACACUGGGUACUAGUAGGGGUGUAACGUGAGGGAGCCUGUGUGUGUGUUGCAGUGGGAAGGUGUGAUGGCACAAAGCCUUGGCAGAAAUAUGACCAGUGGCAAUUCUCCCCGUCAGGUGGCAGAUGGAAGAUGGCCUUGACUGAGAGGGAGACACUAAAUAAAUACCUCCAAAAGGGAAUAGAAAGAGAAUAGCUUGCUUGGUGCCACAUUAUUGAAAUAAGCUUGCAAUUCUCAAAGUUUGUUGCACAUGAGGGUCACCUGGAAGGUACAUGCUCCAGAAUAGAGUCAUGAUGUGUUGAUUUCUAGAAAGGGUCUGCUGGCUAGUGACGAUUGAAAAACAGAAAAAAAAAAAUGAGGCUGGAAACUCACCAAGCAUGACUUCAGUUUGUGGAGCAGAGUUACUGAAGUCCUUUAAUGGAGGAAGAUUCCCCACAGACAGUGUAAGAACAAAGUGGGGCUGGAGAGGGGAGAGCAACAAGCUUUGCUCUAACAGGCCCAUCUGACACUGGUGACGGUUCUUAUGGGGUGGAAAUAGAGGCGGGCACGAGGCUUCAAGUGUGGUUGGUCAGUGGAAGAGUUUUCAAGGAGAUUUUUCAGUGGCAAUUUGAAGAGAAUAAAAACAGGAGAGGAGCCAAUUAAAACUUUGGCAGUACAUGAAAAAUUUGCAAAUCAUUGGUGAACCUGGGUUCAAUUUUGGCUCAUCUAUUGACCUUGAUCCAGAAUAACCCCUCAUUUUUGAAAUUCUAUGCAUUGGCAUAUUAAGAGGUUAAUAAAUAAAAUAGCUCUUUCUUACUUACAUUCCCAGUGAGCCAGUCAGAUCAAUGGAGAUAAAAAGUAUCAGUGUGGGGGGCCCUGGGUGGCUCAGUUGGAUGAACACCUGACUUUGGCUCAGGUCAUGAUCUCAUGGUUCAUGAGUUCAAGCCCCACAUCAGCCUCACUGCUGUCAGCACAGAGCCUGCUUCAGAUCCUCUGUCCCCCCUUCUCUCUGCCCCUUCCCCACUUGCACCGUCUCUCUCAAAAAUAAAUAAAUCUUUAAAAAACAUACAUCAGCAUGAUUACUGACAGCAAUUACAUUGGAGGGUAUUAUGGGUAAGUGGUUAAAUAGGCUUGCUAAGACUCUGCGCCCUUCUUCUUGGCCUUGAUUCAGCCCAACUGAGGGAAACUUGCAUUUGCAAAGUGCACUCUUACCCAUGAUCCUUGUGUCACAUUUGUUCAGGCAUGGAGGGAAGAAAAGAGCAAAUUCCUAGUAGUUACUCAUUUAAACAUUGUUUAAUAGAGAAGCUCUCCUCAAAUGAAACCAAUGGAUUUAAUCCACUGGUGAAACAAUAGGAUAAGAGUUACCCAUCUAAGUGGUGCUCUUCUGUUUUAAAAAAUCUGUACUUUUUAACACGAUGGCACAAGUAGAAAAUUAUAUUAUUCAUACAUGACGGUAGGAAAAAGUGUAUGAAUCUGUUUGAAGUUGGAGAAGCAAUGAGCUUAAGGGCUCUGGGCUUCACAAGACUUUACAACCUUGGUUCACCUGUAACCCAUUUGUGGCACACAGUUGUGCACUGGUGUGGGAUCCAGGCAGACAGGCCUAAAGGAUCUGCCACCUAUUUUGUUACUAUAUUUUCUGAGGAAAUCAUAAGAUUUUUCUCCCUUUAAUUUGUUAAUCUGUAUGGUCUCUUUCCAAUAACAAUUUCCUCUCUGAUACCAACUAGGUGUCCUACAAUUCAAUUUAAUCCUGCCACUAACUACCCUGAAUUAGCACAGACCCCAUAGGUUAAGGGCUCAGUGCCACAAGACUGUCCUCUCACUUCAGGUCCUGGUCACAAGUUGCUGGGGUCCCCAUAAGACUGGCCAACUGGCUAUAAAUAUAAGACUUCCCAUGACCACCCCCCUCCCAGGUUUGAUCAUUUGAUGGAAUGAUUCAUAGAACUCAGGAAAGCUCUAUAAUUAUGAUCACCGUUUUAUGAUAAAGGACACGACUCGGGAAUAGCCAAAUGGAAAAAAUGCAUGCGACAAGGUAAUAGGACGCGGAGCAGGGCAGGCACAGAACUUACAUGUGCUUUCCUGACACACCACCAUCCCAGCACUCUGAUAUUGUCACCCACCUGGUUGCUGCCCAGGCCUCGCUGUUUAAGAAUGUUUUAUCCAGGUUUCAGUAGGUAGGCAUGAUUGAUUCACUCAUGGAACAUUGUGAUUGAACCAUCUCCAAUCCCCCUGCCUUCCCCUCCUCAAAUGUCAAGGGCUGGGACUGAAACUUCCAAACCUCUAAUCCUACGCUUGGUCUUUCUGGUGAUCAGCUUUUAUCCUGAAGGUUUGGUAGAAAGGGGUUCGUUAUGAGUAACAACAGACACUCCUUUCCCUCAGGAAACGCCAAGGAUUUUAAGAGCUUUGUGCCAAGAACAUGAGACAAAGACCAAAUAUAUUUUUUAUUAUACCACAAUGAGGUAAAUCUAUAUUAAUAGAUUUUUCUGAUGUUAAACAAUUCUUACAUUCUUGUAUUUUGUAUACUCAAUUCACUUUGGACUGCUAGUAUUUUAUUUAGGGUUUUCCCAUUGUGAGAACGGCCUAUAAUUUUCCUUGUUCAUAUUGUCAUUGUCUCAUUUUAUUAGCAAGUUUCAUUUAGGUUUAUUAAUUAGUUGGGGAUAAUUUCCUCUUUUUUUAGUGUUAGGAAAGUUUGUUUAAAAUUAGAACAUGUUCCUUGAAUGUUUCAUUCACAUAUGGAAAUUUCUGAGCUGAUUUUACAUUUUGAGAAAUCUUUUAAUUACUGAUCCAGUUAUGAUAAUGAUUAUAUGAUCAUUCCGAUUUUUUAUUUCUUCUUAGUCUUUAGUUUUGGUAAGUUGCAUUUUACUAGAAAUUUGUCCACAUCAUUUAGGUUUUAAACAUGUGGAUGUAAC